CGAAGGGCUGGAGACUCGGACAUGCGAAGGGCAUCUUCUCUGACGUGGGUGGUGAAAGUCGCGCGCCGACUAGGGCAUAAGGGGGCCCUGGGCAGGAGGCGCGUUCCGAACGGUUCGGGGCUAUACAAGCGACCCGCUGGGGCGCGCCCCUGAGAAGAGGAGGCUGCUAAGGGCGCGCGCCCGCCGGAGGAAAGGAAUCUUCCCGCGCAAACCCCCAAAGAGCGAGUCUCCGGUGCCGCAUUUCAGAUAUUCCUGAUGAGUCUGAGAUUCCGUAGAACACUAGCAAAAAUAACAGAGAAACCUUCAAGACCACCUUCUUUAAGAUAGACCACCUGGUAUGAGAGGAGACCACUUUUUGUCAUCUGGUCCCUAAUAUAUUCUUGUUUUUAUUUUUGAAAAUGUAAAUACAGUGUUUUAGAGAGACCAUUUGUAUGAGAGGUCACUGUUACCUGGUCCCCGUGGGUGGCCUGUGUGGAUAUAUUUCUUUGCACUGAAAAUUAACAUGUCAGUAAAAAGCACCAGUUUGCUAAUGAACUGGGGAAAAACAGGGCAAAAAUGUCCUUAGGAACUUUGGGGUGGGAGCUAUUUAUAAUCCUUAUAUUCCAAAGUCCCAUGGAAAGUACUCCUAAAAGAAAACACAAUGAAAUAAAAAAGAGCAAAUGUAUUGCCAUAAUAAUAUUAAUAACAGAAAGAAAAGUGAUAUUAACAUUAUCAAACUAUAAAUAUAACUUUUUUCAUUAAAAACAAAAGGCACACCGCCUGCAGUUCUGGUCAGGUUCUUACACCCCGAAAAGUAAAAACUACAAAUAAAAGAAAUUAACCCCUUCAUUAACCUGAAGAUAUUUCUCUCCUUUGCUAAUACAUUUAUUGCACAAUCUGUGUGACUGAUAUACUUCUUAAGGAAAUUUUGCAUCACAUAUUCUUUAAAUGAUAUUUCCUGUCCCCUUCAUCCUUGAAUUAUUUUGGAAGUAGACUUUCUCUGUAAAGGUUCUGCAUAAGGAUGAGAAGAGGUGGAUACUGUAUAAGAUCUCAUAGUCAAUAUGACCUAUCAUUUGUUUAAAGCUUUUGCUGCCUGAUAAAGGUUCUUCAUCAGGGUGGAUUUAAUGCACUGGGACUGCCUAGAGGCAAAUUAGGAUAAUCACAAGUGUGCCUUUCCUGUGGGCAUUCCAGUAUUCCAUACAAUUUCCCCUACAAUGACAAACGUUGACAGGUUUGUGUUCUCAUUAGUUUUUUCAGGACCUGCUCUCUGUUCAGACUAAUAUUGCCAUACUUGGUACAUCCCUGUUUAUGAAGUUAUCCUGAGACAUAGGAGCUAGAGUUCGGACCAGAGCGGGAAGCAUCUUCUUCUGCCCUUCAAAUUACAAUAAAUCUGUGUAAAACCCCUUAAUAUCUUGUAACUGUUAGAAAUUGCACCACUGUGAUCCUUCCUUUCAAUCUUGGAAUACUUCUGUUG